UCCUGGUUUGGAUACUAGCCCCCUGGUUGGGAUGCUAACUCCCUGGUUGGGAUGCUAGCUUCUUCAUUUGGAUACUAGCUUACUGCUUUAGAUCCUAUCUUCUGGGUUUGAAUUCUUUAUAAACUGAUGACAUUACUGCUCCAUAGAAUGGUAAAGGGGAAGGUUUUUGUUGUAGAUAUGAGAGAGAAAACAGCCAGAGGCAUUUGGAGGACUCCAGAGAGAGAAACUAGGCUGAACAUGGCCAGCAGACUAGACAUCAUCGUCAGAGCUAUCUGCCAGAGAGAAGAGAAUAGCAGAGGAUAGAGAAUAUGCAAAACAUGAAACCCCAGUUUGUGUGAGACCAGGGGCUAAACUCCAAUCCCAGGAAGAAAAUCACAAAGUCCACCUGAGGAACCAUCCUGUGACAACCCCUCCCCCACUCAGCAACAGCCACGCUACAAUAGCAGGACCAAGCUACACAGAGGUAACCUAAGACAUCCUGCAGCCAAUAAAUAACCUCACCAUCCUGUCCGUCAGGUUGCUCCUGCAGAUUACACCAGAAAUGUAGUUUUUAUAAUAUUAGCUUGCUGACCCAUAUGGAAAUUCCCCAAGUUUGCUGUAAGCACAAUAAAAACCCUGCACCCACUGCACCGAGAGACUCGGGGCUCUCACUCUGACCCACUGUGAUAGGGAUAGUCUGAGAGACCUUGCUCAAAAGCUCUUAAUAAAAAGAACCUCGUGUGUUUGCAUCAGAA